rnacentral:tRNA from 1 species
UAGUAAAACAGCACAUUACACCGCCUUGUCAGGGCAGAAUUGUGGGUUAAAACCCCGCGGGCCCUA